CCUACGGGAGGCUGCAGUGAGGAAUAUUGGUCAAUGGACGAGAGUCUGAACCAGCCAAGUAGCGUGAAGGAUGACUGCCCUAUGGGUUGUAAACUUCUUUUAUAUGGGAAUAAAACGUUCCACGUGUGGGAUUUUGUAUGUACCAUAUGAAUAAGGAUCGGCUAACUCCGUGCCAGCAGCCGCGGUAAUACAGAGGAUCCGAGCGUUAUCCGGAUUUAUUGGGUUUAAAGGGAGCGUAGGUGGAUUGUUAAGUCAGUUGUGAAAGUUUGCGGCUCAACCGUAAAAUUGCAGUUGAAACUGGCAGUCUUGAGUACAGUAGAGGUGGGCGGAAUGCGUGGUGUAGCGGUGAAAUGCUUAGAUAUCACGAAGAACUCCGAUUGCGAAGGCAGUUCACUGGACUGCAACUGACACUGAGGCUCGAAAGUGUGGGUAUCAAACAGGAUUAGAUACCCUGGUAGUC
rnacentral:rRNA from 1 species